rnacentral:rRNA from 1 species
UACGUAGGGACCAAGCGUUGUUCGGAAUUACUGGGCGUAAAGCGCGUGUAGGCGGGUCUUUAAGUCAGGGGUGAAAUGCCAAGGCUCAACCUUGGAACUGCCUUUGAUACUGGAGACCUUGAGUCCGGGAGAGGUGAGUGGAAUUGCGAGUGUAGAGGUGAAAUUCGUAGAUAUUCGCAAGAACACCAGUGGCGAAGGCGGCUCACUGGCCCGGAACUGACGCUGAGACGCGAAAGCGUGGGGAGCAAACAGG